rnacentral:rRNA from 1 species
AUUGAACGCUGGCGGCAGGCUUAACACAUGCAAGUCGAGCGGGGUGAUGUGCUUCGGUACUGAUCCUAGCGGCGGACGGGUGAGUAAUGCUUAGGAAUCUGCCAUUUAGUGGGGGACAACAUUCCGAAAGGAAUGCUAAUACCGCAUACGUCCUACGGGAGAAAGCAGGGGAUCUUCGGACCUUGCGCUAAAUGAUGAGCCUAAGUCGGAUUAGCUAGUUGGUGGGGUAAAGGCCUACCAAGGCGACGAUCUGUAGCGGGUCUGAGAGGAUGAUCCGCCACACUGGGACUGAGACACGGCCCAGACUCCUACGGGAGGCAGCAGUGGGGAAUAUUGGACAAUGGGCGGAAGCCUGAUCCAGCCAUGCCGCGUGUGUGAAGAAGGCCUUUUGGUUGUAAAGCACUUUAAGCGAGGAGGAGGCUACCUGGAUUAAUACUCUGGGAUAGUGGACGUUACUCGCAGAAUAAGCACCGGCUAACUCUGUGCCAGCAGCCGCCGUAACAC